AAAAACACAUUUUUGGAAAAUGUCUGUCUGUCUGCCUGUGACAAAGAUAACUCAAAAACGCUUUGAUCUAGACGGAUGAAAUUUGGUGUAUGGUCUUUAUAUCAAAUUUUCAGAUUUCUAUCAGCCUUGCCAGCAUAAGAUAUUUCAACGAUGUUGAUGGAUAUUUUGAAAGCCGGAUAAUACUAAGAAGAUAUCUUAACAAUGUUAUUAGACAUUUUAUGCUAAUAGGGUAAGCAUAUAAUUUUAAUUUCUGCAGGAUAUGUUCAUCAAAAAUAUACUCUCAUUUACGAAAGAAUAAUUCAAAUAGCGUGGAAUGGUAGAAUCCCUUUUAACACAAAAUGUAACAAUGAAUAACAAUAUUCUUUAUGAUAUCUUCACGAUAUUUUAUGGCAUUCAUCAUUUUAAACUAUAUCUUAGAGAUAUCGUACAGUACCCUUAUGCUAUAGUGAUGAGCAAACCCAAAUUGUUAAAUAGGCAAGAUAGGUAACUGCUUAGGGGACCUAUAACUUUGGAGGGCCCUAGCCCGUGACCUCCGAGAGACAAAGCCUGCUGGCUCCGCCAUUCGCUCCUGCAUGAGUCAUCACUGCUAGUCGAUCGAGAAGCUGGUUAACAAUCGUCACUCUGCACGUUUUCUGCUAGAAGUGAACGACGACUGGCAUUUAUAAGCUUUCAUUUUUUAUCUAUUUUUAUAUUUAUUUCUUGAUCCAAGAUGGUGUUAUAUUGAAAUGGAUGAGAUGCAAAAGCAAGUUUAGGAUACAGAUUAUUGAAGGUGCCAUAUAAAUGCUCAGUUCUAGCUUGUCGUGGGAAUUAUGAUGAAGAAAAUAAAGUCGCUGUUUUUGGAUAUCCCACUGAUGAGGCUUUAAAAGAGAAAUGGCUGCAUGCAAUUCCAAGAAAAAUUUUUACCAUUACAAAGAAUUCUAAGGUAUGUGAAAGACAUUUUAAAGAUGGUGAAGUGCUUUACAGAACUACCUUCUACAAUGAAAGUACUGGGGAAACAUUAGCUGCUCCUGUGAAGAAGGACAGACUGAAAGAAAAUGUUGUUCCAAGUAUUUUUCCUGGCUGCCCAACAUAUUUGUUAUCAUCAACAUCCUCAAUUCCGGAGAGUCCUUCAAAAAAGAGGCAACGAUUAGAACAUGUCCAAUUUGAAGGUUCCAUAAUUGAAAGCUUAAAUUCCAAACAGAAUUAUGACAGCAUGACUGCAUUUAUUAAUUUUAAUGAAUUAAAAAAUGUAUUAAAAACCAUACCUUUUCUUCCUUUUGGACUAUUGUUGAAAAGAAUGAAAAUAUGUUAUUCAUCCACUUAUCUAUUAAGGAUGGCAUUCCUACCAUAACAAAUGCUGUAAGUAUUAACAAUGAUCUAUUUUUAAAUGCAUCAUUUAUGGGAGAAAGGAUUUUGAAA